GAAAUGCAUGAGAUUGAAAGACAUGGCCACCUAUCUGAUUUUAUCGUGUUGUUUCUAUAUUAAGGGCUGACACUCUUGAAGAACUUGGAGCUAUCUGAUACUGAAGUUGGAAGCAACGGGCUUCGUCAUCUCUCAGGUUUGAAAAAUCUCGAAAGUUUGAACUUGUCGUUCACCCUAGUAACUGACAGUGGCUUGAAAAGGUUAUCUGGAUUGACAUCUCUCAAAUCACUUAAUCUGGAUGCUCGGCAAAUUUCUGAUGCUGGACUUGCAGCUAUUACAAGUCUUACAGGAUUGACACAUCUGGACCUAUUUGGUGCUCGCAUUUCAGAUUCUGGAGCAAACAAUUGUAAG